CAGGCCAUAUGUUUAACGCCCGAUGAGGCCAUUCAACUUGAGAAGAACACAAGACGGCAACACCAAAGCACAACGUGGAAGACAGAGCGACAGCUACGUCUCACUGCCUCGAAUUUUGGUGUAGUUACAAGGAGGGUGGAGUGGACAGCUGAUGGGAUUCGGGCACCGCUUUUUCCCAAGGAUAUUUCCAGGGUCCCAGCCGUAAGGUAUGGCCAAAUGAACGAGGUGGUGGCUGCUCAACGGUACCAAGAUGUACUUCAAAGUCUUGGGCAUGAUGUGACUCUUUUUGGUUGCGGACUACUAGUUAACCCGGAGACACCUUGGUUGGGCGCAUUACCAGACAGGGUUGUGUUUGACCCGUAUGAAUCCCAGCCACGCGGAGUCGUGGAAAUCAAGUGUCCUCACUCACUUCGGAAUGCUUCUGCCUCUGAUAUUGAAACGUUGGACUACAUCGUAAAGGAUGAGCAAGGCAGACUUCACCUUUCUGUGGACCACAAGUACUACAUAUUACCAAAUCCUGGGCCAAAUGAGGCUCUCGGGUCUGCCUUGGGGAGACUUCGUCGUAUAUUCAGAUGCCUUCAUAUUUGUCGAAAGGAUAAGGUUUGACCAUAGAGAAUGGGAAGCAACGAAGCUGCACCUCGAAAGCUUCUAUUUUGAUAUAAUGUUAGGAGAACUCCACCAGAAGCAGUGAGGCUUCCAUGUAGGUUCUCAACAGAUGAUGCUUUGAGCCCAAUGCUAGUCAUCUUAGUUUAAUUAGUCUUGUAACUUGUUAGCUCUGAAAAAAUAUAUGCAGCAUAAAACGUA